UGGCUACAAAAUAACUUAUUUUGUAGCCACUUUGAGUUACGAUAAUUAUUAUAUUAAUUUAUAAGAUUAUAGUAACUCCUUACUAAGUGGUUUAUUAUAACAUUAGUGGUUUAUUAUAACAUUACGGUAAAUAUCCUCAUGUGUUAUAGUAAUCCAACUAUCGUAAAUAUGUAUACAUAUUAUCGUAAAUUAGUAUAUAAAAUUAUCGUAAAUGGAGGUGGCUACAGAAUAACAUAUUUUGUAGCUA
rnacentral:pre_miRNA from 1 species